rnacentral:rRNA from 1 species
AGUGUAGGCGGUUUGACAAGUCGGGUGUGAAAUCCCAGGGCCCAACCCUGGAACUGCAUCCGAUACUGUUAGGCUAGAGUCCCGGAGAGGGUGGCGGAAUUCCCGGUGUAGGGGUGAAAUCCGUAGAUAUCGGGAGGAACACCAGUGGCGAAGGCGGCCACCUGGACGGUGACUGACGCUGAGACUCGAAAGUGUGGGUAGCAAACAGGAUUAGAUACCCUGGUAGUCC